rnacentral:rRNA from 1 species
AGAGUUUGAUCCUGGCUCAGGACGAACGCUGGCGGCGUGCCUAAUACAUGCAAGUAGAACGCUGAAGAGAGGAGCUUGCUCUUCUUGGAUGAGUUGCGAACGGGUGAGUAACGCGUAGGUAACCUGCCUGGUAGCGGGGGAUAACUAUUGGAAACGAUAGCUAAUACCGCAUGAAAUUGCUUAUCGCAUGAUAAUUAAUUGAAAGAUGCAAUUGCAUCACUACCAGAUGGACCUGCGUUGUAUUAGCUAGUUGGUGAGGUAACGGCUCACCAAGGCGACGAUACAUAGCCGACCUGAGAGGGUGAUCGGCCACACUGGGACUGAGACACGGCCCAGACUCCUACGGGAGGCAGCAGUAGGGAAUCUUCGGCAAUGGGGGGAACCCUGACCGAGCAACGCCGCGUGAGUGAAGAAGGUUUUCGGAUCGUAAAGCUCUGUUGUAAGAGAAGAACGGGUGUGAGAGUGGAAAGUUCACACUGUGACGGUAUCUUACCAGAAAGGGACGGCUAACUACGUGCCAGCAGCCGCGGUAAUACGUAGGUCCCGAGCGUUGUCCGGAUUUAUUGGGCGUAAAGCGAGCGCAGGCGGUUAGAUAAGUCUGAAGUUAAAGGCUGUGGCUUAACCAUAGUAUGCUUUGGAAACUGUUUAACUUGAGUGCAGAAGGGGAGAGUGGAAUUCCAUGUGUAGCGGUGAAAUGCGUAGAUAUAUGGAGGAACACCGGUGGCGAAAGCGGCUCUCUGGUCUGUAACUGACGCUGAGGCUCGAAAGCGUGGGGAGCAAACAGGAUUAGAUACCCUGGUAGUCCACGCCGUAAACGAUGAGUGCUAGGUGUUAGGCCCUUUCCGGGGCUUAGUGCCGCAGCUAACGCAUUAAGCACUCCGCCUGGGGAGUACGACCGCAAGGUUGAAACUCAAAGGAAUUGAC